UACGUAGGGGUCGAGCGUUGUCCGGAGUUACUGGGCGUAAAGCGUGCGCAGGUGGCUCAUUGCGCCCGGCGUGAAAGCCCCCGGCUCAACCGGGGAGGGUCGUCGGGGACGGGUGAGCUUGAGGGUAUCAGGGGCUGGUGGAACUCCCGGUGUAGUGGUGAAAUGCGUAGAGAUCGGGAAGAACACCCGUGGCGAAGGCGGCCAGCUGGGAUACACCUGACACUGAGGCACGAAGGCGUGGGGAGCGAACGGG
rnacentral:rRNA from 2 species